GGAGUAUAAAAACUACUCAAAGCCAGGAAUGGUAGUGCACCCCUAGUAGUCAAAGCCACUGGGGAGGCUGAGCCACCAAUUCCCCUGAGCUCUCCAGUUCAAGGACAGUGAAAUUGCUCUGUAUAAUACUGUAACGGUGAAAACAAGUCAUUCAUUUGUAAAACCAUAGAAGAUAUCACAAAGAAUAAUUCAAAUUAGGAGCAUAAACCAGAUUCAUACUGCCCCUGCUAGAUUCCAAUCCUGGCUCUGCUACUAAAUAAAUG